CUUAUACAGUCUUUGGAUAUAAGUGAAAAUAAGCCAAAUUCAAAUAUCAGAAUAUGACCUUGACCUUUGACCUUGACCUAAUUUUCAUUUUUUGGGACCAAGGACCUCAAAUCAAAAGAUUCUAGGUCUCUAUCACUUAUGAUUUAUAAGAUAGAAAUUCAUAUCACUUAUAUCAGAUGCAUAAGGGGAAAUAACUCUCAUAUGGAGCGGUCAUAUCGCUUCGGUCAAAAUAGGACAAAUCAUGCGAAGGAUAUAACGAGCAAUUUUGUAAAAUAAAUUUGUCAUAAUCUUUUACGGUUGCGAAGGAGAUGCGCU
rnacentral:lncRNA from 1 species